rnacentral:rRNA from 1 species
GACGAACGCUGGCGGCGUGCUUAACACAUGCAAGUCGAACGGAAAGGCCUCUUUCGGGGGGUACUCGAGUGGCGAACGGGUGAGUAACACGUGAGUAACCUGCCCUUGACUUUGGGAUAACUUCAGGAAACUGGGGCUAAUACCGGAUAGGAGCUCCUGCUGCAUGGUGGGGGUUGGAAAGUUUCGGCGGUUGGGGAUGGACUCGCGGCUUAUCAGCUUGUUGGUGGGGUAGUGGCUUACCAAGGCUUUGACGGGUAGCCGGCCUGAGAGGGUGACCGGCGACAUUGGGACUGAGAUACGGCCCAGACUCCUACGGGAGGCAGCAGUGGGGAAUAUUGCACAAUGGGUGGAAGCCUGAUGCAGCAACGCCGUGUGCGGGAUGACGGCCUUCGGGUUGUAAACCGCUUUCGCUCAUGACGAAGCUUUGUGUGACGGUAGUGGGUAAAGAAGCACCGGCUAACUACGUG